UUUCAUCUUUAGGGGUGCUUCCUUUAACUGAGAUGUGAAUCUUGGAUAAAAAGCUGAGAAUAUACUCUAUAUAGCCUGAUUCCAGGUAAUACUGGCGAAGGUAAAGAAGAAAGAAUCUU
rnacentral:ncRNA from 1 species